rnacentral:piRNA from 2 species
UGGCAGGACUGCAACAAGAAGUUCGCGC